rnacentral:rRNA from 1 species
CCUACGGGGGGCAGCAGUGGGGAAUAUUGGACAAUGGGGGCAACCCUGAUCCAGCCAUGCCGCGUGUGUGAAGAAGGCCCUCGGGUUGUAAAGCACUUUCAGUGAGGAAGAACGCCUGGUGGUUAAUACCCAUCAGGAAAGACAUCACUCACAGAAGAAGCACCGGCUAACUCCGUGCCAGCAGCCGCGGUAAUACGGAGGGUGCGAGCGUUAAUCGGAAUUACUGGGCGUAAAGCGCGCGUAGGUGGCUUGAUAAGCCGGUUGUGAAAGCCCCGGGCUCAACCUGGGAGCGGCAUCCGGAACUGUCAAGCUAGAGUGCAGGAGAGGAAGGUAGAAUUCCCGGUGUAGCGGUGAAAUGCGUAGAGAUCGGGAGGAAUACCAGUGGCGAAGGCGGCCUUCUGGACUGACACUGACACUGAGGUGCGAAAGCGUGGGUAGCAAACAGGAUUAGAUACCCUAGUAGUC